rnacentral:rRNA from 1 species
GGACGAACGCUGGCGGCGUGCCUAACCCAUGCAAGUUGAGCGACGAACCAGGGCUUGCCCUGGGGCAAAGCAGCGAACGGGUGAGUAACACGUGGGUAACCUACCCCGAUAACCGGGACAACCCGAGGAAACUCGGGCUAAUACCGGAUGUGCUCACUGGACUUCGGUUCAGUGCGUAAAGGAAGCUUCGGCCUCCGUAUCGGGAGGGGCCCGCGGCCCAUUAGUUUGUUGGUGAGGUAACGGCUCACCAAGACCGCGAUGGGUAGCUGGUCUGAGAGGACGAUCAGCCACACUGGGACUGAGACACGGCCCAGACUCCUACGGGAGGCAGCAGUGGGGAAUCUUGCGCAAUGCGCGAAAGCGUGACGCAGCAACGCCGCGUGGGGGAAGAAGGCCUUCGGGUUGUAAACCCCUUUCAGGAGGGACGAAGGUUCGGCGGUGAAUAGCCGUCCGGACUGACGGUACCUCCACAAGAAGCCCCGGCUAACUACGUG